AUCGCCAAUCCGCCGAUCGGCUUUGUAACGUCGCGCGCUUCCAACGGCGGCCGCGCUAGUCUGACGUUUUCCGUUACGAUCGAGUGGACGAGGGAUCGUAGCUGAUCGUAGUCAACGGUAGCGAUUUCAGUUUAUUUCGUACGUAGCGCGCGCGCGCGCUUUCCCGAUUACAGCGAGUCCAGCAUCAGCAGCGACGACGAUUCCCUUCUUUUGCGAGCGACGACGACGACGACGACGACGACGACGACGACCGUCACACCACCGUUCGCCCUUUCAUCUGUAUGCCUCGCGUACGCCCCCACCGUCACCGAUUUUCCAUGAGUGUUAAUAUUGUCUUCCUAGAGCCACUGGUAAUGCAAAUAUUCUUCCUUGAUCUGAAGUCUGCAAGAUGGUUUUCGUCAUUCAGUUCCAAUUUUAGCUGAGAGUAAUAUAGAAAUGUGAGCAGUGACUGCAUAUUCACAAAUGGCACAGAGCAUUCACUUUUACAUCAUUUAUGAAUAAAGCGAAACGAAAUUGGUCCAGCUUGAUGGUAAUGCGGGGAUGUGGAUCUGCUUCGACCCAACAGAAAGCCGAGUAGGCUGGGGUACUUCCAUUUCGUUCGUUGUGCUUCUAUACUGGACCUCCAUUACUAUCGAUGCCAGUUUAACGAAUGCAGCCGCGUCCAAUGUCCCACAUAGUACCGUUACGUCGGACGUAUCCCUCCCAUCGUCGGCACACCACGAUAACGACGAAUGCAGGAAUGUGACCACUGACAAUAGAGAGGGUACUGGACUGUCAGUGGUCAGCCAUGGAUCCGGUUAUCCUCAUUCGCCGAUAGUGCCUCCACCUUUUCUGUACGGAGCUCUUACCUGCCAACCCUAUCAAGGAAUUUACGUCAACCACAUCUACUUUCAACUCGCAAAUGCCUUCUUCCUAUUGUCACACCUUGCACCAAGCGGCAUACAUGGUGUACUUUAUUUAAGGUGCACUCUACUCGUGGGCUGUGCCUUUCUUGCUUUGUGGGGCUGGACAAUAGCUUGCUGGCUGGAUGCUGCUCUCUGGAAUGCUCUCUUUGUUGCCAUCAACUUCGUCCAUGUAUGCACGCUUCUUUACAAGCUCAGGCCUAUCAAGUUCACAAGGGAAAUUGAAGAGGUAUACAUUGCAGUGUUCCAGCCAUUACGGGUUUCUCGUCAUCAAUUCAGAAAAGUAUUAAAUUGCAUGAAGGUCAUUCGCCAGUUGAAGUAUCAAGAGGUUUAUGCACAAGAAAAAGUGACCAAAGUUGAUUCUUUAUCAUUGGUGUUGUCAGGAAAACUAGUUGUCUCACAAAGUGGGAGAGCAUUGCAUAUUGUCUUCCCACAUCAGUUCCUGGAUUCUCCAGAAUGGUUUGGUGUUUCGACAGACGAAUAUUUCCAGGUAUCAAUAACAGCUAUGGAAGAAUCAAGAAUAUUAUUAUGGCAUAGGGACAAACUAAAAUUAAGCAUAAUUAGCGAUCAAUUCCUGCAGGCAGUGUUUGAUCACAUUCUGGGAAGAGAUGUAGUUAAGAAAUUGAUGCAGGUCAGUGAAACAAUGGCUGCUAGCAAUCAUCAGCAGCAAAAUGGACAGAUAAUUGGUCUGGGUGGACUCGGAGCCUUAGAAAAUGAUGCUGAUACGAAACUUUUUGUUGUAAAAAAGACUGGUGACAGUCAAGGCAUUACUGCUCUCAUUAGUCGUCAACUCCAAGAAGAGAGAAUGCCGCUACUGUACACGAGCCAAGAAGUAUUGAAUAAUACCUUACACCAUACAAACCCUCUACGUGUACCAUCCUAUAUACUUCCUUCACAUCCUAUGCCAUACAAUGCUCAGACUUCGCUGUAAUAUCCUUGUCUACCAAUUGUGCAAUCUAGCACAAAGUCCUAUGUGCUGUACAUGUUAUGUUCCUGCAAUGGAUGCGUGUACAUUACACAAAUAUCAAAGAGUAACAUCAUUUAUUGUUCUUCCUGGCUUGUAUUAAAAGCGGCAGGAGAUCCAAAUGCAUGGAGAUUGGGAAGAAUUGAAGAGACUGAUCAUGAAACACCUGUUUAAUGGAAGGAUUGUUAAUUCGAUGUCAUCCUCGACAGUCAAUAUAAAAUAACACCGGUGUUUUUACAAAAUGCGAUUACAACAAGCUGAUAUUCAUUGUGACUAAAAAAAAUGGCGUGUUGAAACUGUGGAUAGAACAAUUGAAGAUUUUCUUGCCAAUUAAUAAUUUUCCCAAUGACUAGUCAACUGUAUGCGAUAACAAGAGAAAAUUCCAUCGUUUUGUAGCAUAUAAUGAAUUCCAGUCUAGUUUAUAAACCAACUAACAAUAAGUUUAUGCUUCCAGUAUAUUUGUUGGGUAUGCUUGAGCAUAUUUAAUUUAAGAGAAUGGGGCUGUAUUUAUAAUUUACUUUAGUAAAAUUGAUAUGUAUUCUGUGAUGGAUGAAUAAUGGAUUAAGACUUUACAAGUAUGCAGGUGUGUAAUGAAAUGAGGGUGACAUGUUUCGCAGUGGCGUAACUUGUGUCAAUGUGAGGUCUGUGAUGUCACGGAGGGAUUUGAUAGAAGUCAGGGAGGCCUAAAGAAACUUCUUUCCCAUACCCAGAAAUAGUGCCUUUUUACUUACACUUCCUUUCUUAAUGUUUCCAUGGAGAAGAUAUGUACAAUAUUAUGAUAUGCGCGUCAUAUAACAUAUAUAUGAAUUAUAAUAUAUUUAUCCAAUGUAUCUAGUAGAGUUGUCCAAAUAUCGCUGUAUUACAUGUUUGAAGGUCCAUGUUGUGAUACUAUUAAGAAUCCGGUGUUCACAUGGGUGAAAGAAGCACACGAAGUUACGCCAUCAUUAAUACAUUGGAUAUUAAAGUGCGAUGUGUAAAGAACAUUGUUGCGAAAUUUACAUCGCUACAUUGCUGCUAGAAACGCUGAAUUGCGUAUAACUUUCGAUAUUUAACGGAAAAAUUAUUACAAGUUGCUAUACAGAGUAACAUUGUGAUCAUAAAUAUAGUGCGUUCACUCAGACGUUGAUUAUUAUUGUUGUAUUUGUUUGCGAAUGAUGUAUAAUGAUUAUUCUAUAUUAUUUUUUUUCUGGAUUAAUGGAAGUAAAUAUUUGAAUAUUUAAAGUGUGUAUUGCGAGCGAAGGUAAUCACUUAAAAAAAAAAGUCAAUAGUUUACGAUCGAGAGAAAAUAAAAAUACAGUAAUCGAGGAAUAAAAUAAUCUUAAAACAAAAAUCUCGAGAUUAAUGAUUAAAAUUUCAAUAGUCAAAUGUAUACUAUCGAAGAAAUAAUCCUUUUGGAAACAACUUUGUUCAAUCUUUGGAAAUAUCACAUUAAAACAUUAGAAAGUUACUAAACAAAACAAUAUUAUACCCACUUAAGAUUGUAAUAUUUUAAGAAGACUUUUUAUAUGUAAGAUCAUAAUUCUGCUAUAUUUCGGGUAUCGCCGAUAAUUUACCGCAUAUCAUAACAAUUAUUCUCUAUUAUGACACACAUAUAUACAUACUAAUAUUUUGAACACUGAGAAUAUCAUUUUACAUAGCAAAAUACUAAAAUAUAGGAAUGCCUUUUGAUACAUAUAAGUGUGGAAUCCAGGACCAUAAAAUUAAAUCCUUUUUACGUAUAUGAUCCGUAUAUAAAGAAAGACAAGUUUAUAUUACUUUCCAUAUGAAUGUGUGAAUUAUAUAUUACUGAAUCUUUGUUGUUUAUUGUCUCUUAUUGUUGUUAUGAUUAUUUUUGUAUAUGGAAUUGUUUUCUAGUAUUAUAGUUAAAGAUAUAAAAGGAAUGGCUGAUGAAAGAGAUGGAGAAAAUUUAAAUCACACAUUGAAUACAAUAAGAAUGAGUAUAAAGUGGCGAUGCGAAUAAAGAGAGUUAGUUUUAGAGA